CAGGUGCCAGCAGCCGCGGUAAUUCCAGCUCCAAUAGCGUAUAUUAAAGUUGUUGCAGUUAAAAAGCUCGUAGUUGGAUUUGUGGUUGGAGAGGUCCGCCGUUGCUAUGCUUCGUGUUGGAUCUUUCCGUCCAUCCUUGGGUGGAUCCUGUGUGGCAUUCAGUUGUCGUGCAGGGGAUGCCCAUCGUUUACUGUGAAAAAAUUAGAGUGUUCAAAGCAGGCUUACGCCUUGAAUAUAUUAGCAUGGAAUAAUAAGAUAGGACCUGGGUACUAUUUUGUUGGUUUGCGCACCGAGGUAAUGAUUAAUAGGGACAGUUGGGGGUAUUCGUAUUCCAUUGUCAGAGGUGAAAUUCUUGGAUUUUUGGAAGACGAACUACUGCGAAAGCAUUUACCAAGGAUGUUUUCAUUAAUCAAGAACGAAAGUUAGGGGAUCGAAGACGAUCAGAUACCGUCGUAGUCUUAACUAUAAACUAUGCCGACCAGGGAUUUGAGAACGUUACUUUUUUGGAUGACUUCUUCAGCACCUUGUGAGAAAUCAUAAGUGUUUAGGUUCAGGGGGGAGUACGGUCGCAAGUCUGAAACUUAAAGGAAUUGACGGAGGGGCACCACCAGGAGUGGAGCCUGCG
rnacentral:rRNA from 1 species